GACCCAACCGACAAAGGUGCACUUGCUGUGAAACGGGUUAGACCAGGCGCGCGAUCCGUGGGUUAGAGCGAGCGUGUGGUCGGCGGCGUGUUGGAUCGAGGGUGAAAGGGGAGCUAGGUGACGGGGAGGGAGGAGGGGCGAGCAGUGGUCCCGGAGCGGCGGUGGAUGAGGAGGAGGCGGUGGCAACGACGAAGGGGUGGAGCUGAAGGGAGAGAGGCAACAAAUAGGCCAGCAGCCGCCGCGGACCAAGGUCUAGACCGCGUUCAAUCCGCUCGGGCCACCACCCCGCUUCCCCGUCACCUCCGCCCGCUGGUCCUGUUCGUCGACAGCCGGGCAGCGCCCACUCCGAGGUCUCCCUUCUCCGCCCCUGUCCUCCGAGCUCCCUUCUCCCUUCUCCCUACUCCGCCCCUGUCCUCCGAGCUCCCUUCUCCCUUCUCCCUACUCCGCCCCUGUCCCACUUCCUCGUCCGACCAGGAGCACCUCCGCCGCGGCGGCCGGUCCCCGGUAAGCGGCAGCGGCCGGAGUGAGCGGAGCAGAUAAGAGAGCAGUGGUUGAGCUACUACCUCCUACCCUGUUCGUACGGCCACCGGUCGGUCACCUCGGGUGGUGUCCACCUCCUCGGUACUACACACACUCCAUCUCCAUCUAGUAACCUCCACUUCGUACAGAGGAACUACACACGAAGUAGACUCAAAGUGCCCCAUGAAUUCGUUACCAACGUGGGGCGGUGUAGUGUAUGGUCUACGAGUCUAAUAUUCUUUCUCCUUAAAAUAUUAAGUCCGUAGCUAACGAGUGGAAACUUCCAACGUCUAAGUUCACGAUCCGAAAUUCCUACUUCGUUUAGGGUUAGAUCUUUGUACACAGCACGUGGUAUAUAAACAGUGGUCUUUGCUUACACGUCCGCUGCCGGUAAACUAAUCACAAUAUAGGUUGAUUCCGAUCGACUGACGACAAACUAAUAGCUAAGUAGAUGCCGUCGUGUCUGUCCGCAUAAUAGAACCUCCGUUACCGCCGUACCCACCGUACUCUCCUUCCUACCCUUAGUCGAUGAACGUAAGCGUGCCUCCUCCGUUGCAGCUGCACUACCGUGUAGUCUCCUCCGACCCGAGCAACACCUCGAAGAACUCCGUCGUCCUGUACUACAGCAGGUAGUGUCUCUACCUCUACCGGUACGGGCACGGCUACGGCGGGCGCCUGCAGCCGCUCUCGUAGCGACGGCCGUUGCCGAACUCACUGGAGAACUCCUAGAAGAGGUACUCGUGGACCCUGCUGUGGUUGAGGUUGUAGUACAAGAGUCGCGGGCCGUCGUUCUUCCGGCUCCACGAGCCGCUGUCGCUACAGCCGUACCAGUGAUCGAAGUCGUUGUAACUGAGGGUCUAAGUCAAUCGGGAGAGCUCGACCUGUACGGGUCGUACCUGCUGAUGGACGUCGACGUCGUCCUGAGGCGGCUGACGUCUCAGGUGCGGUUCGCACCGACGUGGUGACUAGGCGUCUCGUAGCGAACCCUCCCUUUCUUCUUGUUCCUAGUUGGUCUCCGAUUCCUCCGACGUUCUGGAGUAAGGGAUGUACCUGUUCCAGUGUUCUUGACUUAUAUGUGCAUCUUCUUUGAACUCUCGGUUAUAAUCACGAUUUCCUAAUGAGACUAACGGCUAGAUACGACAGCGCCGUUGUAUCCGGUUAUGUGUAAGUCCUUUAUACACUGGUUGAAAGGGUUCCAGAGCGUAGUAGAUGAGUCCUAUAAGACACGGGAUUCGGGAUGUCUUAUUACGGGUCAGAUUAAAGUUGUCACCCUGUUGGAGUUUGAAGAGAGAAGUUAUAACUUCUUCGCCGAAUGAGUCUAGGUACCCGUACGUGAAUCUUUUUAUCGAUUUCUCAUGCUCUAUAAGGAUCUCAUUUAUUUCCCGAAUACACGAGUAUUCAAUCUGUCUUCGUUUUACAAUAAAUAAUACGAGGACAACAUAGGAGCCUGUAAAAUAAGGUGGAUAUUAUGGGGUUAUAGCUUAUAGAUGAAAGCGUGACAACAUGUCUUUGACUACAAUUAUAAACACGUAUGAGAAACAGAAUUCACCCGAAAGAAAGUUUUUUA
rnacentral:rRNA from 1 species